UGUCUUAAUUUGUUUGUAGUUUUACCAAACGUGUGUGGUUUUCCAUAUCGGAAAUUCCGGCUACUACAUUCGCCACCAAUUUCACCAAAAAUUCUGACUGGUAAAACAAUUGAAAAGAAUUAAAGCUUGGAAUUGUUGCAAUGGCAGAAGCAGGAGUGGCGGUUGCUCUUGAAACCAUCCGUGAUUUGCUAUUGGAAGAGGGAAGGUUUUUAGUUGGUGUGGCCGAUCAAGUCAGGGAGCUCGAGAGGCAGCUCAAAGAGAUGAAGUGUUUCCUCCAAGACGCUGACAAAAGACGACAUCAAAGCAGAACCAUCUCCAAUUGGAUCACCGAGAUCAGAGAUCUUGUCUACAGAUCCGAAUCCGCCAUCGAAAGACACGCAGCUUAUCAAGUUUCUUCAAGGAGAAGAGGCCUCAGGCAGUUCGUCCACAAAUAUUCCUGCAUUUUGAAAGAUUGCAACUCACUCCGCCAAUUAGGCUCCGAGAUUUCACAAAUUACAUCAAGUCUGGAGAGGAUAAGCAAGGAUAUGCAAGAAAACGGCAUAAAAAGAAGCAUACUCAUCAAUCCAAAUGGAGAGGAGGGAAGCUCGGGUGGAAACAACAUGUCAAGGAAGACUUUCCCCAAUUUGGAGAUGGGAGAUUGCUUCGUAGGCAUGGAGGAUGAGCUGAAGCAGCUUGUUCAUCACCUAGGGACAGAUACAGAGCAUCGAAUUAUAUCAGUGUGGGGAAUGGGAGGCUCAGGCAAGACCGCAAUUGCCAAGAAGCUCUACAACGAGACGACCAACUUUGAUCUGUCGGCGUGGGUUUGCAUUACUCAGCAAUGCGAUAGUCAAUCAGUUUGGAAGGAAGUUCUAAGGCAGCUAGAAAAUCCACAGAAGAAGAAAGGUGUUUCAGUCCUGAACGAUGAGCCACGAGUAGUAAGGGCGGAGGUUCCAAAUAUGAGCAACUCAGUAUAUGAUAGACUAUGUGAUAUACAAAGAGAGAAGCGAUGUCUCAUUGUUUUGGACGAUCUUUGGGAACUUUCUCAUUGGGAGGAGUUGAAGCAUCCAUUCAUUGUCCAAAAUCUGCAGAGCAAAAUAUUGGUGACAACACGGACACAAAAGGUUGCAGAGAUUGGAUUGACAGUGAAACAUGGGCUCUUACAUUUGGAUGCUGCUUUGGAACUACUCAAAAACAAAGCAUUUCAGCAUGGAAAUAUUCCAGACUUUGCAUUGGACGAAAGAUUUGAAAAAAUUGGGAAAGAAAUGGUACAAAAAUGUGGCUAUUUGCCAUUGGCAAUUUGUUUACUCGGUGGGGUUUUGAGAGAGAAAAAAUCGAUCGUUGAAUGGGAAUCAGUAAAUGAGCACAUCAAAGCAGCCAUAUAUGGAGAUGAAGAGCAUAUUGACAGAGUGCUAAAUUUAAGCUAUGAAAGUCUACCCUAUUAUUUGAAGCCUUGCUUUCUCUUGAUGGGUAUUUUUAAGGAGGACGAAAUCAUUUCUGCUUGGGAUCUAUAUAAGAUGUGGAUAGCACAAGGCAUGAUUUCAUAUGAGAAUAUUGGAGACAAGGAGGACACUUUAAUGGAUAUCGCUGAGUUGUACUUAAGUGAGUUAGCCUCCAGGUCCAUGGUUCAAGUUGAAUUUAUGUACGAUUAUGAUGCCGCAGGUAGAAAUAGUUCAAAAUAUGAUACAUGCAAACUUCAUGAUGUAGUACGAGAACUAUGCUUGAAAUUGGAAAAAAGGGAGCAUUUUGGAGUGAAGAGUUUGGAGUAUCGAGGUGGGAAACUCAGUACCUUGCUACGGGAAGCUUCCUCACAUGUUAAGAUGCAACAUUUGGCUAUUUAUUUCAGAAAUGAAGUCCAGCACGAGCUUAUAGUCAUUUGUGGAGAAGAUACUAGCGAGCAUAUAAGGUCUAUUCGAUUAUCCAAUGUCGUAGGAUCAGAUGUUGUUGAGUUUCCCCCACAAAGUAUAAUUGAUUUUCAGAAAUUCAAAUUUCUGAGAGAUCUAGUUUUCGUGAGAUUCAAAUUUGCAGGAGGAAAGUUACCAAUAGGAAUCACUAAACUUGUUCACCUUAGACGUUUGCGUUUAGCAAAAUGUGAACUUGAUAAGCUACCGUCAUCCAUGAGGAAUUUGGUAUACUUGGAUACCCUUGAUUUGAGGUAUUCAAUGAAUGUUAAAGUUCCAAAUGUUUUUAAGGAUAUGUUGCGAUUAAAACACUUGAUACUUCCUUUCUAUGGAAAUGAAAAUGCUGGAAGUUAUCGAGUAAGAUUGGAUGAGGGAGUAUAUAAGUUGGAGACUCUACUAUACUUUGAUAGCAGAUGCCAUGAACUUAAAUGUAUGGGCAGAAUGAAGAAUCUCCAAAUAUUUAUAGCUAUAAUACACGAUAAUGAAAGAUUAUCAGCUAUCAUGAAUGCCAUUAUGAACUGGAACAAGAUACGGGAAUGUACUAUUCUCAUUGCAGGAAGUUGCGACUUAACAAAUGAGCGAAUGCUGGAGAAGGCUUUGACAUGUCCCAAUCUUUAUGAAUUGUUUAUUUAUUCAAAAAUAGGGAAGGAGCUGGCAGAGUGUGGGAGUGAUUUGUUGAGCUCGAAACUUAGGUGUUUGGAUCUGAAAUUCUGUGAGAUUGAGGAUGAUCCAAUGGGGAUACUGGGAAAGCUUCCUUGGCUGGCAAAACUGGUAUUACGUCAGAAAUCAUUUGUUGGGGAGGAGAUGACAUGCCCAACAAACAGCUUUCUUCGCCUCAAGAUCCUAGCAUUAAGAGAAUUACCAGCGUUAAGGGAGUGGAGAGUGGAGGCAGGAGCAAUGCCCCUUCUCUCUGAAUUAACGAUCGAAGAGUGUUAUUGCUUGGAGAUGGUUCCAAAGGGAUUAUGUGCCAUUUCUACCCUUCAGACUCUCGUAAUUGAAAGAAUGCCAGAACUGAGUAAAAGGAUAUCACCAUCUGGACAAGAUUUCCAUGAAGUUUGCCAUGUGCCUUCAAUUCUUAUCAAGGACUAGUGGUAUUCCCCCAGGUUGAGCUUUAAUUCUUUGGAGAGUAAUGGAUUAUCACUGCCACUUUUGGUGCUCAAUGAAAACAGUUUACCUUUCUGUAAAGGCCACAUUCCUUGCUAAGGUUUUGUUGCAGCUCAACUCAUUAAAUGUACAAAAUAUGUGGAUGUGCAACUGCUUUGGUUCGAGACGGAUUUUCUGAAGAUUUUGAAGUCCAAUUAGUUCAUAAUGCAUACCAUUCUGUUCGUCUUCGAAAGAACUUCACGUGGAUAUCUUAAACCUCUCAAUCGGAGUUCGGUAAAGGAAGUUGUGGCUGUUUUACAAAGACUGCGAGGAGCAGCGACAAAGCUGGCGACCCGCCGGUACGCAUGUAAACGAACCCGGCGACCCGCCAGUAAAUACACGGGAAAAACGCCGUAGGCAGUUGGCGGCUCGCCAGCUUCGAUGUAAAUGAACGUGGCGACUCGCCAACUUCGACUGAGAGUUUAUUAAA